rnacentral:misc_RNA from 1 species
CCGAACAGUCGACACGAGUUGUUGCUGGCCCUCAAGAAUAUGGGGGCACGUGCACGCUCUGUCUUCACAUCCACUCACACCUGUGCACCCUCUGUAGUUCUGUGGCUGGGGGGCUCCGUCCUCUCUCCGUAGUUCUACGUCUUUACACACACGCUGUAAUAAAGUCUCAUGGAAUGUAUGCCGCGUUUAACGCAAUACAAUA